rnacentral:rRNA from 1 species
UGCGUAGGCGGACUAAUAAGUCAGUGGUGAAAUCUCUCGGCUCAACCGGGAAACUGCCAUUGAUACUGUUAGUCUUGAGUUUGGUUGAGGUAGGCGGAAUGUGUAAUGUAGCGGUGAAAUGCUUAGAUAUUACACAGAACACCAAUUGCGUAGGCAGCUUACUAGACCGACACUGACGCUGAGGCACGAAAGCGUGGGUAGCGAACAGGAUUAGAUACCCUGGUAGUCC